CAGCCGCCGCGGGAAAACGGAGGGUGCAAGCGUUAAUCGGAAUUACUGGGCGUAAAGCGCACGCAGGCGGUCUGACAAGUCAGAUGUGAAAUCCCCGGGCUUAACCUGGGAACUGCAUUUGAAACUGUCAGGCUGGAGUCUUGUAGAGGGGGGUGGAAUUCCAGGUGUAGCGGUGAAAUGCGUAGAGAUCUGGAGGAAUACCGGUGGCGAAGGCGGCCCCCUGGACAAAGACUGACGCUCAGGUGCGAAAGCGUGGGGAGCAAACAGGAUUAGAGACCCCGGUAGUCCCUGUCUCUUAUAA
rnacentral:rRNA from 1 species